rnacentral:rRNA from 1 species
CCCUUAGAUGCUCUGGGCCGCACGCGCGCUACACUGGUCGAUGCAACGAGUUUCUUUCCUUGGCCGACAGGCCUGGGCAAUCUUUGAACAUCGAUCGUGAUCGGGAUAGAUUCUUGUAAUUUUUGAUCUUAAACGAGGAAUUCCUAGUAAACGCAAGUCAUCAGCUUGCAUUGAUUACGUCCCUGCCCUUUGUACACACCGCCCGUCGCUCCUACCGAUUGAAUGGUCCGGUGAAAAUUUCGGAUACCGGCAUUGCUGGCGGUUCGCCGCCGGCGACGCUGGUAGAAGAUCUUUAAACCUUAUCAUUUAGAGGAAGGAGAAGUCGUAACA